rnacentral:lncRNA from 1 species
AUGUGCAAAUCACAUCUGCACAUGUGCUUGCAUGGGAUUUCUGGAGAUCUGCAAUCCUGGCUGGAACCUCAGCAAGGGACUAACCUCUCUGCUUUUAUCGGGGGAAUUUUUGGUGUGAAUAAGAAAUGUCCUGUCCUGCUGCCACAGUUCUGCAGACAGAAAUCCCCUGGCCCGCCCUCCACCUCCUCCACACCUUUGCAACAGCUGGAAAGUGGUGAGGAGAUGUGGCUCCUGCCCAAACACAGUUUAUUGCUGUUGUUGUCAACUCACUCUGUUGAAAAUAACCCAAACUCAUCUGUGAGAAUCUCUGGCCAUACAGGUGAAAAAAGGUGCUUCCAAGGAAGAAAAGAGUUGAUCAAUGGUCAGGAGCCACCACCCUCAGAAAUUCAGACCCUGGGUGUAUUUCUUGGGACUGAAUGGGGCUUGCAUGUAAUGGGCACACUGCAAAGAGGCUGCCAGUGCUCUUGCGGGGAAAGCAGAAAAAACCCUUGUGCUGGUGCCUGGCUACUCCCCUCUGCAGCAGCCCAGGCACCAACCACACUGAUGGCAGUGGCAGAGCUGGGCUUGCACCACAGGCAGCCCCAUUCUCACAUGGAAAAGGCAAUCAUAAAGUAAAACACAAAUCCAUCUCAAAACCCAUCCCUCCUCCUCUCCAAGAUAACGCCACUGAUUUGGCAGCGUGCAGGUAUAUCCACUUUCCCCCAGCACUUGCACACAAACCAUUUUUUCUCUUAGUAGGAAAUUUCUCUUGUAUAAUCAACUCCCCAUCUAUUGGGUUCAUCAUGUUUUUAACCUAAAAAUACAGAAUGAUAAUGCAAAACAUGCCUGGACCACUGCAGGCAGGCUGAGGCAUCUCACCUCUUCUGUUUAUCCCUGUGUUCAAGAGCACAUCACCAGAGGGAAUUUCAGUAACUCUUGCCUGUCUAUUCCCACCUUAAUCUCCGAAAAUGAUCUGAGCAGGACCUGCUAUGGAUGGGAAGGGUGACACUGGAAGGAGAGCGGCUGGCAGAGCCACAGCCUCCACGUCCUGACACCCUGGGACAGCUCUGUAACAGAGCAGGGGACCUGACAGCUCCAGGGCAGAGGCACAUUUUAAACAGAGGCUCUCUGCACAGACAGCAAGUUUAGUGCCAGCACGUUAUAUGGUUUGUGCUUUUUAGGUUUGGUUUUGUGCAAAUUCAUAUACUCCUGGAGAAAAUGAUAAAGUCGUGCUGCAGUUUGCUCCUCCUGCAAGGAAUUCAUUGCAUUUUACUUUUCUUAUCCCUUUGGGGCACACAAACCAGGGACCAGGUUCUCCAGGGAAUCUGCAACUCCAGAGUAGUCUCUGCUGUGAGUGAGUGAGUAUUUAGGGCAAUGAGUCUCAAAGUCUGAAUAUUUUAUCAGCUGUGUGGGGACUGGAAAAAACAUUGACGUGCAUUAAACUAAUGCUGGGUACCCUCACUGACUGUC